rnacentral:tRNA from 1 species
GGGGGUAUAGUUCAGUGGUAGAGCACAUGCUUAGCAUGCAUGAGGUCCUGAGUUCAAUCCCCAGUACCUCCA